CCUACGGGAGGCAGCAGUAGGGAAUAUUGCUCAAUGGAGGAAACCCUGAAGCAGCAACGCCGCGUGGAGGAUGAAGGUUUUCGGAUUUUUAACUCCUUUUGUUAGAGAAGAUAAUGACGGUAUGUAACGAAUAAGCACCGGCUAACUCCGUGCCAGCAGCCGCGGUAAUACGGAGGGUGCAAGCGUUACUCGGAAUCACUGGGCGUAAAGAGCGCGUAGGCGGGUUAGCAAGUCAGAUGUGAAAUCCUAUGGCUUAACCAUAGAACUGCAUUUGAAACUGUUAUUCUAGAGUAUGGGAGAGGUAGGUGGAAUUCUUGGUGUAGGGGUAAAAUCCGUAGAGAUCAAGAGGAAUACUGAUUGCGAAGGCGACCUGCUAGAACAUAACUGACGCUGAUGCGCGAAAGCGUGGGGAGCAAACAGGAUUAGAUACCCUUGUAGUC
rnacentral:rRNA from 1 species